UCUUCGCUCAAUUGUUAUUAUAAUGUCAACGCGUUAAGUUCGUAUUCCGCUCAUAUUUCAUCGAUAGUUUUCCGCGCUUACAUUUCAUUCAUAAAACUACAAAUACGAAGUUUAGUGUAAACCUAUAUUAAUGAGUUAUCGAAAUAGUUGGCAAAGUUUUUUUUAAGUAAUCAUCUGUUACUUAUGAAUGUGAAUCAUGAUCAUGUUUCUACGGUUGUAUACUUACAAAAGCAGCAUUUCUGAGCACUGCAAUGUUAUUGGUAGAGUUGUUAAAACCUGGUGGCAUUGCAUUACUUAGAACUGAACAAAUGAAUGAUGAACGUUAAAAGAAAAUCGAGCUUACUGACUCACUGGCGCAUACGCACAUAUGUAUGUAGGACAUUUCACACAUUCUUUGAAUACGCACGCAUCAUUGUCGACCGAAAAAACUCCAGCGAAUAGGACAAUUUUACGCACAUUCAUCACCACAACAUAUCUGUUGAGACAAUUCUUUAAUCCCACUAAAGACGAAAUUAGCGCAAUAAAUACACAGACAAGCUUGUUUCGCUGGGGAAGAGGCAACCCAUUUUGGUCGGAGAUCGUAAAAUUUUGAAUGUCCAAUUUUCAAAUCCGUGUGGUCUUACUUGAACAUUUGAUACGUUUCGUGGAUACUGCGCGUCAUGUAACGUUUUAUUUUGAGCAACUUAACAUCAUUCUCGUAGACGUUAAUCGAAUAAUUUUUAUUUGGAUUUUAAGUCGAGCAAUUGAGAUCAUCAUUCAAAUAAUAUUCCGAUCUUCCGAACAUUCUCAUCUAUCGGAUAUGCUGAAUAUGGAUCGGGGAAUACUAUAAUAUUAUCAGUUACAUGAGGCCAUUUUGAAAAAAUAAAAUUUUUUGGCAUUUGACAAAUAGCCGUUGCUUAUAAUAGCCUAAUUUUCUCUGUAUACGAAGUACAAUUUUCUAGACUGGAACCAAAAUUUUCAAACCAGUUCACGCAAAGUUGACAAUUCGAAAUCUCUGAUAUGGGAAAUUUAAUUAUUCAUUUCCUGCGAUGUAAUACAACUUUUUCAUCUUACACAAAAGCCGCUAAUCCUGUAUUUCUGCUAUUUAUUUGCGUUUUCUUGACAUGAUGGAGGGCUGAUCUGAUAUCAACUUCACUUACAUUUUUAAGAGGGUUCGUUUUGGGAACAAACGAUUCGUCUAGCAAGUUGCUGCUUUAAAGUGACAAGUCACUAUUAACUGCUGGUACAACUGAUGAGACCUCGAAUGUUGAAGGCGAAGGUUUAUUUUUA
rnacentral:lncRNA from 1 species